GUUUAACCACUAUGGGAAACAGUUUGGAGUUUCCUUAAAAAAUUGAAAAUAAAACUACCAUAUGACCCAGCAACCUCACUCUGACUAUUCAUCCAAAAUUAUUGAAAUCAGGAUCUGGAAGAAAUAUUAGCACUCCUAUGUUCAUUGCAGUACUAUUCACAAUAGCCAAGAUGUGAAAACAACCUAAAUGUCCCUUCACAGAUGAAUGAAUAAAUAAACUGUGGUCUGCAUAAAUGACGAAAUACUGUUCAGCCUUAAAAAAGAAGAAAAUUCUACAGGAUGAAACAAUAUGGAUAAACCUGGAGGAAAUUAAAUGAGAAGACAAGCUAAGAUGCAAGAAAAUGUGACCCUUGAUAAAGAUGGAAAACAGGAAAUGAAAGUGUACCAGGAGAGCCACAAAAGUUCCAGGAGUUCCAGAUGUUCUUUUUCUUUCCCCCGGCCAGGGAUCUGAAACUAACUCGGACUUACUUGAAAAGGUGAACAGCCAUUAUCACAUAGGAAAUUUAAUCAGAGAGAGAUGAUAAUUAUAAGAAAGAAAUAUGAGGAAAUGCUAAAAGUGAAAAAUGCAAUAUCAGAAAUGAAAAAUUUGUUAUAUACACUAAGAGUAGGCUGAAAAGAAUCAAUGAAUUUGCUAAAAAGGUCAACAUAAAUUAUCGAAACUGAAUUACAAUUAGGAGAAAAAACAGAAAUGAAACAGGGCAUUUGGCAUCUGUAGGGUAGUAUCAACUAACCUAAUAUGCACGUAGUUUGAGGCCCAGAAGGAGAGGAGACUAUGAGUAGGGCAGAAAAACAUAUCUGAAAUGACACUAGCUGAGAAUUUUCCAAAAUUUAUGAAAACAUCAACCUACUUAUCCAAGAAACUCAGUGACUAAAGCAAAAUACAUACAAAAACAAAACAAAACCCAACUAUACCCGGACACAUUGGUUUCACACUGGUGAGAGCACAGAGAAAAAAGAAAUAUUAAAAGCAGCCAGAGGAAAGAGGCAUAUUACAUGCAGACAGUGACAAGACCAAUGGAUGACUUCUUGGCAGAAACGAAGGAGGCCAGAAAACAAAGGAAAAAUGUCUUUAAAGUGUUAAAGGGGGAGAAAAAACAAAAACAAAAACCCUGCCAAUCUAAAAGUCUGCACCCAGCUAGAUAGGCAGCCAGCAAAAGCAGCAUAGAGUCACCUGUCUUUCAUCACUUUCCACCAAUGCCUCCCACUCACGAAACAACCAGAAAACAGCUGGCCAGGGAGCUUUUGAAAUACACUUUUGGGAUAACAGCCUCCCUAAAGCAAAACAGACCACAGAGAAACAGAUAUGAGUUCUGAGAAGACAUAUCUCAUGUGAGUUCUGAGAAGCAAAUAGCUUGAGUUGUUACCAGUUUGAGGCAGCUAAGUGAGGAAUGAGCCAUUUACUUACUCUCUUAAUGGGUUUGCUCAAUGCCCAGUGGAUGGCAGCCAAAUGACUCUUUAUUUCGUUGCGCUGUUAUCCUAGCUGAUUUCUGUUUACAAUUUUCCUUUUAUGGAAGAGGUGCCCUGCUCUAGUUUUUAGUAGUUAAUGUGGAUGUCUGUCUGUGUCUUACCUUACUUAUUUCCAGACUCAGUUAGCCAGGCUUGCAGGCAAAAGUAGAGAGGUCAUUAGACAUCAAACUCCACUUCAUUACAAGUUGGUUAUUUGUCAGCUGAGUGUGAUCAUCAUAGAAGUAGCUCAUGAAUAGAGGAAAAGUUAGUUUAUUUCAGCUAAUAAUAUGCUAAAUAAACAUUCGUACACAGUGUAUAAUUACUAUAUUUUUAUCAUACGUAGGACGUUAGGACAUAAAUUUUGCUCAAGGCCAAU
rnacentral:lncRNA from 10 species